CUGUUACCAUAGUAGCAGUAAAAUGAUGAUGUAGCAGAGAAGUGAGAAGAGUUUUGUACAGUAGUUUAUUCGCCAUGAUGUGGCAUGGUUCGUGUUUCUAUCCCGUCGCUGCUUCUAAAGAAGAGGCUCCCCUUUUUGUAAGAUGAAGAAAGAAUGUGUACAGUAUGGGCGAGAGCAAAGAGAUGAUCUUCUCGCCAAUUGUGAUUGGUCUAGUUGGUAAGGAGCAAACUCAGACCCCACAAAGGUGUGAGUUCAAUUUUUGAUGACAGCUUUAUGACUUCGUUGGUGCACAAUUUAUAUGUACCUGUGAGCUCUUUGAACUUUAUCUUCACUAUUGAUAGAAAAAAAAUACUUGAGAGAAUCCAUUUCAGGGUGACACCACAAUGAAUACAUUUCCU
rnacentral:lncRNA from 1 species